AUUGAACGCUGCGGCAGGCUUAACACAUGCAAGUCGAGCGAGCGGCGGAGGGGUGUGUAAUGUUUAGGAAUCUGCCUAUUCGUUGGGGAAAACAUCUCGAAAGGGAUGCUAAUACCGCAUCCUAAUAGAUGAGCCUAGUCGGAUUGGCUGGUUGGUGGGUUAAGGGCCUACCAAGGCGACGAUCUGUAGCGAGUCUGAGAGGAUGAUCCGCCACACUGGAGCGGAGACACGGCCCAGACUCCUACGGUAGGCAGCAGUGGGGAAGAGGGGCAAUGGGGGGAACCCUGAUCAAGCCAUGCAGCGUGUGUGAAGAAGGCCUUCGGGUUGUAAGGAACGUUCAGCGGGGAGGCGUUACCCGCAGAAGAAGCACCGGCUAACUCCGUGCCAGCAGCCGCGGUAAUAC
rnacentral:rRNA from 1 species